GUCUAUAGCCAUGCCAUCCUGAAAACAUCUGAUCCCAUCUGAUCUCAGAAGCUAAGCAAAGUCAGUCCUGGUUAGUACUUGGAUGGGAGACCACCUAGGAAGACCAGGUGCUGUAAGCA
ensembl:rRNA 5S_rRNA 5S ribosomal RNA